rnacentral:lncRNA from 10 species
GACUUUGGAGGCAACAUAUUCUUCAUUUGACUGUGUUAUUCCAGCCCAUUUACUGAGUGACCCAAAAGGCUGCCAGUUUUGAGUGGGGUCCAGAACAGAAGAAGGCUCUGCAACAGGUCCAGGCUGCUGUGCAAACAGCCCUGCCACUUGGGCCAUAUGACCCAGCAGAUCCAAUGGUGCUUGAGGUGUCAGUGGCAGAUAGGGAUGCUGUUUGGAGCCUCUGGCAGGCCCCCAUAGGUGAAUCACAGCAGAAGCCUCUAGGAUUUUGGAACAAGACCCUGCCAUCUUCUGCAGAUAACAGCUCUCCUUUUGAGAGACAGCUCUUGGCCUGUUACUGGGCUUUGGUGGAGACUGAACGUUUGACUAUGGGUCAUCAAGUCACCAUGAGACCUGAACCGCCUAUCAUGAACUGAGUGCUUUCUGAACCAUCUAGCCAUAAAGUGGGUCAUGCACAGCAGCAUUCCAUCAUCAAAUGGAAGUGGCAUAUACAUGAUCGGGCUCGAGCAGGUCCUGAAGGUGCAAGUAAGUUACAUGAGGAAGUGACUCGAAUGCUUAUGGUCUCCACUACUGCCACCUUGCCUUCUCUCCCCCAGCCUGCACCGAUGGCCUCAUGGGGAGUUCCCUAUGAUCAGUUGACAGAGGAGGAGAAGACUAGGACCUGGUUCACAGAUGGUUCUGCAUGAUAUGCAAGCACCACCUAAAAGUGGACAGCUGCAGCACUACAGCCCCUUUCUAGGACAUCCCUGAAGGACAACAGUGAAGGGAAUCUUCCAAGUGGGCAGAACUUCGAGCAGCGCACCUGGUUGUGCACUUUGCAUGGAAGGAGAAAUGGCCAGAUGUGUGAUUAUAUAUUGAUUCAUGUGCUGCAGCCAAUGGUUUGGCUGGAUGGUCAGGGACUUGGAAGAAGCAUAAUUGGAAAAUUGAUGACAAAGAAAUUUGGGGAAGAGGUAUGUGGAUGGACCUCUCUGAGUAGUCAAAAACUGUGAAGAUAUUUGUAUCUCUUGUGAGUGUUCACCAACGGGUGACCUCAGCAGAGGAGGAUUUUAAUAAUCAAGUGGAUAGGAUGACUCGUUCUGUGGACAUCACUCAGCCUCUUUCCCCAGCCAACCCGUCAUUGCCCAAUGGGCCCACGAACAAAGUCACCAUGGUGGCAGGGAUGGAGGUUACACAUGGGAUCAUCAACAUGGACUUCCACUCACCAAGGCUGACCUGGCUACAGCCACUGUUGAGUGCCCAAUUCGCCAGUAGCAGAGACCAACACUGGGACCUUGAUAUGGCACCAUUCCUCGGGUGAUCAGCCAGCUACCUGGUGGCAAGUGGAUUAUAUUGGACCUCUUGCAUCAUGGAAAAGGCAAAGAUUUGUCCUCACUAGAAUAGACACCUACUCCAGAUAUAGGUCUGCCUAUCCUGCACUCUAUGCUUUUGCCAAGACUACCAUCCAUGGACUCACAGCAUGCCUUAUCCGCCACCAUGGUAUUCCACAUAGCAUUGCUUCUGACCAAGGAACUCACUUCAUAGCCAAAACAGGUGUGGCAAUGGGCUCAUGCUUAUGGAAAUCACUGGUCUUACCAUGUUCUCCAUCAUCCUGAAGCAGCUGGAUUGAUAGAACUGCUGCCUUUUGUGGAAUGGCCUUUUGAAGUCACAAUUACAACACCAACUAGGUGACAAUACUUUGCAGGGCUGGGGCAAAGUUCUCCAGAAGGCUGUGUAUGCUCUGAAUCAGCGUCCAAUAUAUGGUACUGUUGCUCUCACAGCCAGGAUUCACAGGUCCAAAAAUCAAGGGGUGGAAGUGGAAGUGGCACCACUCACCAUCACCCCUAGUGAUCCACUAGCAAAAUUUUUGCUUCCUAUUCCUGUGACAUUAUGUUCUGCUGGCCUAGAAGUUUUAGUUCCAGAGGGAGGAACGCUACCACUGGGAGGCAUAAUGAUUCCAUUAAACUGGAAGUUAAGAUUGCCACCUGGACACUUUGGACUCCUCCUACCUUUAAGUCAACAGGCUAAGAAGGAGUUACAGUGUUGGCUGGGGUGAUUGACCCAGACUAGCAAGAUGAAAUCAGUCUACUAGUUUACAAUGGAGGCAAGGAAGAGUAUGCAUAGAAUACAGCAGAUCCAUUAGGGUGUCUGUUAGUAUUGCCAUGCCCUGUGAUUAAGGUCAAUGGGAAACUACAACAGCCCAAUCCAGGCAGGACUACAAAUGGCCCAGACCCUUCAAAAAUGAAGGUUUGGGUCACUCCACCAGGAAAAAAACCAAGACCUGCUGAGGUGCUUGCUGAAAGCAAAGGGAAUCCAGAAUGGGUAGUGGAAGAAGGUAGUCAUCAAUACCAGCUAUGAGCAUGUGAGCAGCUGCAGAAAUGAGGACUGUAACACAUGAGUAUUUCCUCCUUCUUUUGUUAAAAACAUGUUUGUGCAUGUAUACACUUGUACUGAGAAAAUAUCUUCAUUUUAUUUCCUUUUCCUUUAUUUCAUGACAUAAGAUUUAUUGAUUUCAUGUCAGCAUGUAAGUAUUGUUAACUUUAUGUAAUAGUAUUUGGGUUGGGGGUUGGUGCGUUUCCAGUUGUAGGAAGGAUAGUUGUAUUAUGUUAGGUGUAAUUGUGACUUUAUUAUUAUCUUUAUUUGAAGAUUAUGUAUGAUCUCAGGAGAUGUGUAUGGGUUCAAGUUGACAAGGGGUGAACUUGUGAUGGUUAAUACUGAGUGUCAACUUGAUUGGAUGGAAGGAUACAAAGUAUUGACCCUGGGUGUGUCUGUGAGGGUGUUGCCAAAGGAGAUUAACAUUUGAGUCAGUGGGCUGGGGAAGGCAGACUCACCCAUAAUCUGGUGAGCACCACCUAAUUAGCUGCCAGUGAAUAUAAGGCAGACAGAAAAACUUGAAAAAGUGAGACUGGCCUAGCCUCCCAGCCUACAUCUUUCUCCCAUGCUGGAUGCUUCCUGCCCUCAAACAUCAGACUCCAAGUUCUUCAGUUUUGGAACUUGGACUGGCUCUCCUUGCUCUUCAAGCUUAUAGACAGCCUAUUGUGGGACCCUGUGAUUGUGUAAGUUAAUGCUUAAUAAACUUCCGUGUGUGUGUGUGUGUGUGUGUGUGUGUGUGUAUGUGUUUGUGUGUGUGUUCUGUAUAUUCUAUUAGUUAUGUCUCUCUAGAGAACCCUGACUAGUACACAAAUGCUCAUUUAAUAAUUGUUGCAUGUUGUCAUAGUCUUCUUCUGUGUAAACUAGCAUCAAACAAUCUGAUGAAAUCUUUAGAAGUCAUGUUAAACCCACAAGAUUUGACAAGAUUUGAGAAUAUUACCUAAAGAAAGAAAUUUAAUGAAAAACUAAAGAAACCAUGAGGGAAUAGAUUCUUCCUCUCCCCAACCCCCAUCAAAUAUUUUGCAUUUUUGGAAAACAGUAAAAUUUGUUGGAUAAUGUGUGUGUAUACAUAUACAGACACAUAUUUAAAUUGGAAUAAAAUAUCUGAAGCAGCACCAAUUCAUUCCAUUUAAAAAAAGUUUACCUAUAUAUUUCUGAUUCAUUCAUUCAAGAAACAUUUAUUGAAAACCUCCUAAGUAACAAUCAUUGUACUAUGGACUGGAGAUACAAAGUUUAAGAGAACAGAGCCCUUGCCCUUGAAACAUACUGUAACUACUUUAAUAGAGGUAUGUGAAGAGAGCAUUAUGCAGAAAAAGAAGAAUAAACCUCCAAUUUUCCCUAAAAGUAAGUCAAAGAAGGCUUAAUAGAAGAGAAAGGAAAUGUUUAUCUGAGUCUGGAAGUAAGAGUAAAUAUCUGUUGAGAAGAUGAUUUUGAGGAAAGACUGGCAUUCCAGACAGAUGCUCAGAGAACUUGGCUGACCAUUGGGUACUGCAGGAACCUGGGGUUUUUGUGGGGAGUAGUGGGAGGUGACAUUUGAAAACUGGGCACACACCACAAUAUAAGAGCCUUAAAUGUUUUGCUGAGAUCCUGGAUAUAUUCAAUGUCAAGAGGGGACAGCUGAAUAAUUAAGUAGUAAAGGGACAUGGUCAGAAUUGCCCAUACCAGUUGUAGAGUACAGAGUGUAGGAGGACAUUGUGCACUCAAUGAUUUAAACAUGGGGCUAGGUGCUAGAAACACAAAGUCAGGCAAAAAUGGGAAAAGACCCUCCUCACUGGGCUUACGGUCCAGUCCAGCGGGAGAGGCAGACAUUAGACAAAUAACUCCAUUGGUGAAUGUAUAAUUGCAAAUUGAAAUAAGUGCUCUGAAAGCAAGGAGCAGAUUCCAUGAGAGCUUGUGAUAAAUAAAUUUUCACCUAGCUAGGGGUAGUGUGUAUAAUACUCUAGGAUGAAUCAAAUUAAUAUAUAUCCACAAAAAUGAAGAAGAAAAAAUGAUGUUUACAUUAAAAAUUUACCAAAAAACUUAAGCUAGCCCUUACAGACCUUUUUUUUUUUUUCUUUGAGACAGAGUCUCACACUGUUGCCUGGGUUGGAGUGCAGUGGUGUGACGUCUGCUCACUGCAACCUCCACCUCCUGGGUUCACGCAAUUCUCCUGCCUCAGCCUCCCGAAUAGCUGGGAUUACAGGUGCACACCACCACACCCGGUAAAUUUUUUGUAUUUUUAGUAGAGACAGGGUUUCACUAUGUUGGCUAGACUGGUCUUGAACUCCUGACCUUGUGAUCCACCCUCCUCGGCCUCCCAAAGUGCUGGGAUUACAGGCAUGAGCCACUGUGCCCGGCCUAGAUUUCUUUAACUUUAGAUUGUUCUACUUGCACAAACAUAAGUUGCAAUAAUAUGUUUUAAAAGGCCUUUUCAAUUCUGGAGUUUAAAAACAUAUUUUCUAAAUCUUCCAUUUCAAGCUGAUUAGUUAAAUAUUUUACAGUACUUAAGUAGGUAAUAUUUUAUUAUUUCAGACAAAACUUUAGAAAUAACGAUGCAGCUUUUAACAGCUUAAUCUACUGAGCAUGAGAGAGAGAUGAGUUAAACAUUUACUAAAUGCAUAUGAUGUUCCAGUCACUUUUACAUCUGUUGUAUCACGUAAUCUUUACAAUAUUCUUAUAGGUAUUUUUACUGGAGAAUUUACAAAAGGGAGGGAGGAAAGUUUAAAAGCUUCAUGUUCAAAAGUAGAAAUCUUCAGGGGAUGAGCAUUCUUGUUUAGAAAAAUAUAUUUAUAAUCCCCUUGGUUAUGAAAGAGGAGAAGCCUUGAAUAUAAUCAGGAUGAUUUGGAGCAAAAUAAAUAGCCAAAUUCCUCUGCCAAUAAAAACACAAAAAACCUGGAAAUAUUAUAUGGGCAAGACAGCUUAAAAGCAGGAGAUAAAGUUGGCAGAGAGAGAUAAGAGAAAAGAUAUAAACAAUGGAACUGAAAACUGGUGCUCUGCAAGAAUCAAUAACUAGAGACAAGUUUCUGGUAAAGAAAAUGUUUGAAGGGCUUCAAAAGAAAUAUUGAACAUUACAUUGAAAGAUGUCUUUUUGGUUGGGCUCAAGUAUGGAAUCUUCAGACGCAGUUCAGGAAUUUAGAAUUCAGAGGAAAGAGGAAACUAGAUCUAGAGUGUCUAGCAGAAACACAAGGCACCUCAAAAUUCAUAAAUAUAUAUGAUAAGUUGGAAAGUAGAUUUUCCAUCAUAUAUGAGAGGGAUAUCAUCCAGCUUUAUUUGAGUAUUAAAGAACAUGUGUCACAGCAGGCUGAAAUUGUUGAGAACACCCAGGGGAGUGACAGUUCGUUCAUUUAUUAGUAUCCCCAUUUUAUAGUUAAGAAAAUUGAACCUAAAUAGAUUAACAGUAUAUUCCAGGUUACACAGUAAGUAAUGGAGAUGGAAAUAGAACAGCCAUUUUGUAACCACACUGCAACAAACUGGAGGACAAAUAUCACAUACUAAUUUUGAUGGAACAAAAAGAAAGAAGGAACCUGGAUCACUGCUGAACUUAUGAAGCCACUGGGCUGCUUACCUCCAAACCUUUCUACAAGAAAAAUACACAGUAAUUUCCUUAAUCCACAUGGGAUCCAGUUAAAUGCCACUGGUGACUCUAAUUUUUCAGUAAUAGAACAUUUGCUUAAUCUGUCAGCACAUUGUGUAUUGACCAUGUACAAACCAAGGCUGCUGUGUUAGGAAAAAAUGAUAGAAACAAUUCAGGAUGGUAGAAUCUGCUCUUUCUUCCUCUUUCUUCUUUCCUCUUUGAGCCAAGUUCUACAAGAGAUAAAUCAGCUGAGACUACCACUAGACAUCUGCAAGCAGAAGAUUAGGAGAGUAAAUUUGCGAGACACAUAUGCAUAUGACCCAGAAACCAAGUUGCGUGAAACUACCAUGGUUUGUGCCUCGAUAGGUUGAACAAGGUACGUUAUUCUCUUUCCAAAAUAGAGGACAGCUUAGAAGAGAUAGUUUUAGAUUGAUACCUUCUGCCUUUCCCACACCUCUUCUACAAAAAGUCCCUGCUGAAAUAGGGAGUGAUUGUUGGAAAAAAAAAAAAAAGAAUGUCGCAUUCAACGUUUGUAUCUGUACACAAGGUUGUUUCUAACUACCUCAAGGCACUGACCAGCAGGAGUUUAGGAAAAUAGUCAAGUCACAGAUGUCAAUAGAUAAAAGACUUUAAUGAAUAAAACUAUGUCCAUAUGAGAUCCUUGGCUAUAGUUACUCGGAGAAUUGGCUGCAGCAAAUAGCCUUAAAACUUGCUAAGUUUUGAGGGAACUAUAUUGACUAAAUAAACAAACAAAAAAAUUCAGAAAAGGACAACAUCUGCCUGUGACUUUUCAAUCCCGCAAAACAGUUCUUGGACUCUAAAUUGUACCAGGAACACAUGCAGUCUUGAAGGUGUGCUCCUACCCCAGUGCUCAAUUAAGAUGUAGGGGUGGAGGAUUAUUAGACCAGAGGGAAUUUCCAAGGUACCCGAACUGGGGCUACCAGGUUGGUCAAUGAAGAGUUGUAGCUACUCUUAUCAGCAGGGUCUGAUAUUUGUGGUAACCAUUGGCUUCUCUAUUUCCCAGAGGGGAUUUUUUUAUUGAAGCUAAUACUAUUUUCGCUCCACCAUUGUAGAUUGGAUAUUUUGCAUAUUUUGCAAGGAGAUAACUAGAUUAUUGGAUAAGGAGAAAUUACAUAUGGUAAAAGUUACACUGUCCCAGAAACUUAUGAUUUGACCUAGAAGAGAAAUGGUUAUGAAUUUAGGAUAUCACCUCCUUUGGGGACAGAAAUAGUAUUCCUAUGUUUGAUAGUGUUUCUCGACAGCAGUCAAUAUUGGGAUUCUAGAUGAGAUAACUCAUUAUUCCGAAUCAUUGACAUCACUAGCUCCUACACACUAAAUGCUAGUGGAAUCAUAUAUCACUAGCCCCAAUACACUAAAUGCUUCUCAGUCAUUAUGACAAGUAAGCAUGUCUCCAUACAUUUUAUAAUAUUUACAAAGUGGCAGGAUACUAGAAUAAAUGUGUGUGUGAGUGAAUAUUGGGUAGCCAAAGGGGUAGGCUAUGACAGAGAUAACUAAUUCCCCACUAAAUAUAAAUGUUUUCAUCUUUGUUACUGUAAGAACCCCACUUUUAUUUCAGUGAACCAUUGUGUUAAGAUGAACUGCUCACCUUCCCAGAUUACCCUGUACUUAGCUGAAGCCCAAAGGAGGUAUAAAGAAAUUACUAGAUGAGGCUUCCUGGAAAUCCUUCAAAUAUAGUUCAGACUCUUCUGUCAUGAGACCUUUGUCCUUUCUUUUUGUCUUUCCUGUCCUCCUUCUUCCUGCCUGGAACAUUGAUGGGGUAUGUGGAGUUUCUAGAACUGUCCUGUAUCCAUGAGUUGAAGGCCAUCAACUCAGCAGAAAAGUACAUGGAGAACCUGAGCCCCCCAUGGUGUCCUUGGCUGUGGCAUCAGACUAGUCUAUCCAUCUCCAGACUUCUACAUGAGCAAAUAAGCCACUUAAUUUUUUAAGCCUCUGUUUGGGAGUGUCUGUUUCUGGCAGCCAAACUCAGUUCUAGCUGACACAAACAGCAUCUCUCCCUACUCUAGUUUCAGUGAAGAUUUCAUGGACUAGGGAAGGGCAAAGAGGGGCGAAAGAGAGCAUUGAAGUAAAUUACAACUGGGUGCUUUUGAGAAAGGACCUUGAACUCUGUCCCUACAGCUGGCUGAAUCCCAGGAGGAACCUCUAGAAACCCCAAGGUAAACAUGGGGAUGCAGGUAAACAUGAGGGAAGCUCUUGCUGGGUUUCUUUGUACCCCAGUGAAUCAGAGAUUAUUUUGUCAAUGCUAUAUGUUUAACUUACAGGAAUGCUCAAAGUUAAACAUAACAGGAGAUAAAAUGAGGAUCAUUAGUCUUGUAAAUUUUUCCUCAAGUUCAAGGUGAAAACACAUCCUGUGACAUUUGUGGAGGACAGUUUUCAUUGUAGCUUAAGUACUUUGCAUUUCUCCAAGUGAAUUGGUUGACACCUGCUAAAUAUGAAAAGUUUAUCUGUAAGCACUGGGUCCUAUGAAACACUAAAUCCCAAGGAAAAAAGUGGGAAUGCCAUCAAUUUUCUCCCUUUACAGAUUAAGAAAAUAGAUAAUUUCAAGGGGCAGUUUGCUAGGGUACCACAUGGGAAAUUUAAGGUGAAGUCAAUUAGUAGUGCCACAUGCUGUAUAUCUCAUUCUGAACGUGUCCCUGUAAGAGUUAAAUCUAUCUGGAGCCACAUACUGAAAACCCGAUCACAACAGCUGCUCUCUGAGCCCCUUCUGCAGAAAAGAAAGAAAAUAAGUUUUAAUUAAAUUGUAUUAAUUGGUUUAGCUGAUCUGGAAAUAGAGUAAGGGUUCUACUCUAAUUUUGUUUUUUUGGCUGAAGUCCACUUGUCUUUGACAUGAGAAUAAAGGAAUGAAGCAAUAAAAUGCCUAGAAAUGCCCUGGUAGAGACUUUUAAACUGUCCAAGGUUAAAAAGCGCUGCUAUCUCUGAGAUGAACUUAAAAUUCUGCUGCCAACUCUGAGAAGUCAGAAGUGCAAGCAAGAAAAGAAGAAUGUGAUUAAAAACCCUGCUUCCUUAAAGCUCUGCAAAGCUGCAAAGAAAAGCCAGGCAUUCUUCCCAUAAUAGUGAGCACUUGUUAGAGAGAAAAGGAGAAGGUUGUGAAAGCAUCAGGGUAUAAUGACCUUAUUUCAGGCCACUCAGCGUAAGUUUUCGUAUAUAAGGUAACUGAAAUUUCUAAGUGUAGCUUAACAGUUUGAUGUUACGAUGUGCAAAAUACAUUUUGUUUUACUUAAAAACAUAUUUGAUUCCACCUUCCAUGCCUGUAUUGCAGCAUUUUUAACCAGUUAUUAAAAAUAGAAAUUAUUUUAAAAGACAUAAUGCUAAUACAACACACUUGUAUUUUUUUGCUUCCAUGUAUAAGGUAAAGUUUAAAUAUAGUCACGAUCACCUGAAACCAUUCAUUAAAUGGCAAAAUUCUGUGACACAGAGAGGAUACUCUAUAAAGAAUGGCUUAAAUUUUGUUCUCUAGAAAACAUGCAGUUAAAAUUUCUUGUGAAAAGAAAUGCAUAUGGGAUAACAAGCUUGCUAUAGGCUGAAUGUAUAUGUCUCCCCAAAAUACAAGUGUUAAAGUCCUGAAAUCCCCAAUGUGAUGUUAUUUGGAGACGGGGCCUUUGGGAGGUAAUUAGGGUUCUAUUAAGUCAUGAGGUCAGGACCACCGCAAUGGGUUUAGCACUUUAUAAAAAGAGACACUAGAAAUCUUGCUCUCUCUUUCUCUCCAUCAUGUGAGGACAUGGUGAGAAGACAGCCAUCUGCAAGCCAGAAAGAGCGCUAACCAGAACGCAACCAUGUGGAUACCCCGAUCUCAUAGUCCCAGCCUCCAAAACUGUGGGCCUCUCCCAGAUGGCAACUUGUUUAUCAAAGCAUGAAAACCAAGAAGGUGAUAAAGAAAGUCUGCUAGCAAGACAUAAGUCACAAUCUUUUGUAAUCUAUUUAUGAAAGUGACAUCCCAUCAUCUUGACCACAAUCUAUUGAUUAGAAACAAGUACAGCUCACCCUCAACAAGAGGAGAUAAUAUCCAGGUGUGAAUUGCACAAGACUAAUCCAGUGGAAAAACUAUAUUCGACCCAAGGAUCUGUAUCCACACAGUUUGACAAUAAUUUACUUCUUUCUGGAAGCGAUGAGCACAGUGUAAUUCCUGAGAAAUUUUAAUAAUGAUAUUUUAAUUAUAAUUAAGUGAAACCUAGCAAAGUUGGCUGUAUCUGGAGGAACUCCACUGUGGGAAACAGAUUCUUAAGAUGGCUGAAGAUGGCUGUUUCGCUGCAUCAAUGUGUGACUUUCAAUAGAUGAUCGAAGAUGGCUGUUUGGCACUGUGUCUGAAUUAAGCCAGAAGGAAGGAGGAAGAAGAUGAAGAAAAGGCAUGCCUCUACCCCUUAGGACCACGUCUCUGAAGCUGUAUACAACAUUUCUGCUCUCAUAUAAUUGGGCAGAACUUAGUCAUAGAGCUACAUGUAGUUGCAAGGGAAGCUAUAUGCACUAAUGUGCUUAGUUAAACAUUGGGAUUCUCUUACUAAGGUACAUAAGGAGAACAUAUAUUUGGAGAGGCAACUAUCCAUCUCUGCCACAAGAUCUGAAACAAUUAUUGUGAGACUAUAAACAUAGAAAAAAGCUCCAGAGAUCAGGGGGAAGUCAGAAAUUAUUUGGGAUUCCAGUGAAUGGAAUGUUGACCAUAAAUGAGAAAUGAUGCUUGGGAUAAUUCCUAGCGAGCAUUGGCUUUUAGAGUUGGGAUUGAAGUCAACCAGCUAUAAAGAGCAAGACUGGGUGGGGUACUUUGAAAUGUCAUAUCAUUGUGUAUGGCUUUUGUGGUAGUUACUGCUUCUUUUUAGAAUAAUUCUCAUAACUAGGUAGAAAGCUCACCUUUGAAACUUCUGCAUGCCUAAUAAAAUGCUUCACUCACACCCAGUUGUUUUACUCAAGCGAGUAGUUUUAUGGUAACUGCAUUUGGGGUAACAGUCUUACAGAAGAGUUAACACAAUGGGCAGAUUCCAGGUGUGCUGUCAUUUGGAGGAGGCAAAUCCAUACAGACAAGAAGUAGAUUAGUGGUUGCCUAGAGCUGGAGGAGGGUAGGGAUAAGGAAUGGAUUACUACUGGGACUGGGUUUCUUUUUGGGGUGAUGAAAAUUUUCUAAAAUUGAUUGUGGUGAUGGUUGCCUAACUCUGUGAAUAGCAAUGAAUUGUGCUAUUGUACACUUUAGGUAAAUGGUAUGGUAUAUGAGUUAUAUCCCCAAUAAAGCUGUUAAAAAAGAAUGAGAAAGACCGAGUGACUUGCCAAG